rnacentral:lncRNA from 1 species
UUUCUUUUUCUUUUUUUCUUUAUGAAGGACAAGUGGUUGUUGGUAUGUUUUUGUCAAUGCAUGAGUGGCAUCUAAGAAGAGCAUUUUGGAUUAAUCCUUCUGGAUAGAUAGAUAGAUAGAUAGAUAGAUAGACAGAUAGGUCAAAUGACUAGCAAUCUGAGGCAAAAUUGAAGCAUAUAUUCCUCCAAGAUUAGUAAUUUUGCAUUUACCUCUCUUCCAAAUCAACAUUUCUAUCCUUGCAAAAUUCAACUUGC